rnacentral:rRNA from 1 species
CCUACGGGGGGCAGCAGUCGAGAAUCAUUCACAAUGGGGGAAACCCUGAUGGUGCGACGCCGCGUGGGGGAAUGAAGGUCUUCGGAUUGUAAACCCCUGUCAUGUGGGAGCAAAUUAAAAAGAUAGUACCACAAGAGGAAGAGACGGCUAACUCGGUGCCAGCAGCCGCGGUAAUACAGGGGUCUCAAGCGUUGUUGGGAAUCACUGGGCGUAAGGCGUGCGUAGGCUGUUUGGUAAGUCGUGUGUGAAAGGCGCGGGCUCAACCCGCGGACGGCACAUGAUACUGCGAGACUAGAGUAAUGGAGGGGGAACCGGAAUUCUCGGUGUAGCAGUGAAAUGCGUAGAUAUCGGGAGGAACACUCGUGGCGAAGGCGGGUUCCUGGACAUUAACUGACGCUGGGGCACGAAGGCCAGGGGAGCGAAAGGGAUUAGAUACCCAGUAGUC